rnacentral:rRNA from 1 species
GACGAACGCUGGCGGCGUGCUUAACACAUGCAAGUCGAACGGUGAAGCUCCAGCUUGCUGGAGUGGAUCAGUGGCGAACGGGUGAGUAACACGUGAGCAACCUGCCCCUGACUCUGGAAUAAGCGCUGGAAACGGCGUCUAAUACUGGAUACGAGAAGGGUCCGCAUGGGCACUUUCUGGAAAGUUUUUCGGUUGGGGAUGGGCUCGCGGCCUAUCAGCUUGUUGGUGAGGUAAUGGCUCACCAAGGCUACGACGGGUAGCCGGCCUGAGAGGGCGACCGGCCACACUGGGACUAAGAGACGGACCAGAAUCCUACGGGAGGCAGCAGUGGGGAAUAUUGCACAAUGGGCGAAAGCCUGAUGCAGCGACGCCGCGUGAGGGAUGACGGCCUUCGGGUUGUAAACCUCUUUCAGCAGGGAAGAAGCGAAAGUGACGGUACCUGAAGAAGAAGCACCGGCUAACUACGUG